rnacentral:misc_RNA from 1 species
ACGGAAACUUUCGUAACUGUUUAAUUCUGUUCACUUAUUCCACCGAUAUAAACCUAAUUACCUCGAGAGGGG